CGGAUUGCAGUCUGCAACUCGACUGCAUGAAGCUGGAAUCGCUAGUAAUCGCGAAUCAGAAUGUCGCGGUGAAUACGUUCCCGGGCCUUGUACACACCGCCCGUCACACCAUGGGAGUUGGAAGCACCCGAAGUCGGUGACCUGACCGAAAGGGAGGAGCCGCCGAAGGUGAAGCCAGCGACUGGGGUGAAGUCGUAACAAGGUAUC
rnacentral:rRNA from 1 species